UACGUAGGAGGCAAGCGUUGUCCGGAAUUACUGGGCGUAAAGCGCGUGUAGGUGGUGGGACAAGUCUGCUGUGAAAGCGCCUGGCUUAACCGGGCGAGGUCGGCGGAAACUGUUCGACUCGAGGACGGUAGAGGGGGGUGGAAUUCCCGGUGUAGUGGUGAAAUGCGUAGAGAUCGGGAGGACACCGGUGGCGAAGGCAGCCCCCUGGGCUAACACUGACGCUCAGGCACGAAAGCGUGGGGAGCAAACGAGGA
rnacentral:rRNA from 1 species